CCUCUACAUUUCCAGCAGAAUAAUUUCUGCUUUUCAAUUAUGACCUAGGUAAGACAUUCUCUCCUUUAGCGAAUUUCUCUUGAUCCUUUCUCUCUUAGGCUCGGUGAACUGCCCCUCCACUAUGUUAUGAAAAUGUUCUCUAUCUCUACCAUCACUGCACAGGUCAUAUAUUAUUAUAAUUUUUAUUUUGUUUUUAAAAAGGUAAUACAGAUGCAACAAACAGGCUUUCACAUCGUCCCAGAAUGAUGACUGAAUACUGCAUUCUUGGUUCAGAGCAAAGCCAACAGGUGGUUCAGCUAUCUUUCUUCAUGCUUAAGAUAGAAACAAAUUCAGAAACCAGCUCUACUCCAACCAUCCUCCCUCCACACAGUCAACACAAGAAGACAGACUAUCCCCCCACCCACAUUUCUGUGGAGGACAUGCUGUCUUUUCCCAAGGCCAAGUGGAGGUCCCAAAAGAAUUUCUGUUUAAAAAAAACACAAAGUGGGGAAACCUAUAAAAAGGGUGACUGUCAUUUUUAUUCCAUUUUGAAUGUCUGCUUUACCAGAGAAUUGACGACAAUCAGAUGGGAGGAGUGAGCAUUUUACCAGUAAACCAUGUUGGAGUCACCAUCUGUCUACAACAGCUACCUGGAGUGCAUAUACAAUGAGGGAGAAUGGCAGUUACCACCAACUUCAGGCAGAACUGUGGCUGGCCCAGUCAGGAAGAUAUGUUUUGUUCUUUUCCUGCUACCUCAGCCUCACCCUGACAGGGAAGAGAGCAGCAGUGGGUAGAGGAAGGGGAGAGGAGAGAAGUGAAAGUCAGACCAUGCAACACACCCUUCCAUUACAGAUUAGCCCUGAGCUAACGGCUGCCAAUCCUCCUCUUUUUGCUGAGGAAGACUGACCCUGAGCUAACAUCCAUGCCCAUCUUCCUCUAUUUUAUACGUGGAAGCCUACCACAGCGUGACUUUUGCCAAGUGGUGCCAUGUCCACACCCGGUAUCUGAACCAGUGAACCCCGGGCCGCCGAGAAGCAGAAGCAUGGCUUGAUGAGUGUUAUGUAGGUCUGCGCCCAGGAUCUGAACCUGUGAACCCUGGGCCACCAAAGUGGAGUGCACAAACUUAACCACUACCCCACCAGGCUUUGGGAAAGCCCUAGGAAUUGCCUGAUGAAGUCGCCUAGCGAUUGCCGGAGCCUGAUCAUGCAACAGGCAAUACUACUGGGAUUUCAGGUUAAAAUUCUGAGAAUGGUUUUACAUAUGCUAUUCAGACACAUGAUUGAUUACACCUCAAGUGUGUACAGCAUCUUCCAACC
rnacentral:lncRNA from 1 species